GCAAGGUAGAAAUCAUAAUGCAGUUAUGCUUCUUUCCUUUCUACAUAAAACAGUAAUGGAUGUCGUCUCUAGAAGGCUAUGUAUAAACAUGAGUACUAAUCCUUGAUUUUGCCUUUCAGCUGAUGGUGCGCCGUUGUAGUAUGACUCGAGGAUGGCCGUUGAGAUAGAGUAGAGGAAGAGGAGUAGUUUAUCGUGAGCAGUCUCGACAGACUCGACAGAGACGAAGCGGUACAGGCAGAUGGGAGAUUGGAUGAAUGAUCAUGAAGACUUGCCUACUGAAAUAAUUGUUGCCUCGAGUAUACCAAUUGAAAAUUCUUGUGCGUGUUGCUCGCACCUAGGAAGACAGGGAUCAAGCCACUCAACAACAAUUAUACGAGCUACAUUCUAUUGUCGUUGACCAAGAGAAAAAAAUUCUAUCCCAGGCGCUUUCUCCUCUGAUGACGCACAUUGAUCUAUAGCCGCUAUGAUAGCACAUUGACAGGCUGGGAGCACAAGUUUUUCAAAAGGUGCGACCUAAACAUUUUGGUUAGUCCGAUGUUUUAAAUAAUACAGUAUGUGUGCCCAUGUUGUACAUGCAUUUUUUGGAUUCAAGCGCAUUUUGGUCUUCAACAGAUCCUGAUUGCUGAGUUUAUGGGGAAAAUACUUUUCUUUUGGACUUAGAUGGUUACAGCAUCAUGUGCAGGUUAAGGAACUUUAAAGUUCAAUAAAUUCUAAAUGUAGGUGAUUUCCUUAUUUUACUUUAAAAAGUUUGAUUGAUAUCACCCAGUCAUACUGUUAUUUUUGAAACAUACCCGCAGUUAACUGCAACAUUUGAAAAUAAAGAGGGUAUUAAGCAUGUGGCAGCAUAUAUUUGCUAGAAGGUAAUCCAUCUACCUACCAUCAUCUGAUGAACACAUCGUAUAUGUUUUUCAUGCACAACUCCCUGUAUUAUCUGGUUUGGCUUGGUGGUUGUUUCUCUCAGUUUCCAAUUCACACAUUAGGGCAGAAAAUAAUAAUUAUCCCAUUUUGAGUUAAGGAUUUGUCUAAACAUGAGAAUUUACUAGGAGGUUGAACUUAGAUGAUUGCCUAUGUGUGGGUCAUGUCUAACUACCGAUAUCCCUAGCUUCACUAAAACAACUAAGUAAACUAAUAUUAUUGGUGUAAUGAGUCCAGGGCACACAUUGAAAAUUCUUCCUCGAAAAACCAUAAUGAUCUUGAGAUAUUCUAAACUGUGCACAAGCAUUUAGAUCGUAACGGAUUUCCAUAUUUGGGUGUAAAUGGUCAAUGCAUUUGCGUCUCUGCAUAUACUCCUAAGAUAUUUAUUUUAUGGUGAACCACUGAACCAUAUAUUCUUGGUAUGUUAAACAGUUUAGAAUUCUUAUCGACAUGCAAAUGCAGAUUAAGACUGCUUGGCCCCUCUGAUGUUGUAGGAGUCGGAUGCUCUUAUGUUAUCUAAUUUUGCUUUUGAGCAACAGGUACAAACAGCAAGAUAUAAACUUAGUCAUGCAUAUACGAGGUAUUUGCCAAUCUUUUCAAAUAGUUUCUUGAACUAUAAACAUGUUUUUGUUGGUUUCGACAAGAAAUUAUUCUACCUUUCAAAAAGGAAGCACAUAUUUGAUGUGGGGAUCCCGAGAAUUGCACAGUUGCCACUUAGUUAAGAUGUCUCUAGAGGGUUUCGGAGCUUCAGAAAUACAUAGCUGCCUCUGAAGUGCAAAUAUUGCCAGUGUUCUUUUGUUGACACUAUAUGUUCCCUCAAGCAUACGUCUCUUUAUAUGGAUAUAUAUCAUUUCAUACUUAUGCAUUUUACUAAUGUUUUCUUUGGUUGUUCUUUCUCUUAGGGCCCACAAUCUACGAGAAGGUUUGUUGCACCUUUUUCACUUGAGGCAUAAUGUAUGAAGUUAAGAUGCAAUAACCAUGUAUCAGAUGUUCUGUUUUCUGUUCUUUGUCUGUCAGUGUGUUGGAGAUCAUCUUCUUUUGUUUCUGUUCUCUGUUCUCUGCACCAUGUAUUGCUAUAUGAAGUUGCAAUUACCCAAUGCAUCAGAGUCUAUCCUCUCUCCUAUUUUUAUCCUGUUUUUAAUCGUUUCAGGAAACCUAUUAGUAAUGACCUGUCUGAAAUUUCUGUACCUCUUUAUUUUUCAUUCAUCCAUCAGACUGCCAUAAAGAAACUUCAGGGGAACGACCAAGUUGAAAGCAUAUUUCAGAAUGUUACAGUUAUUCUCUUUCUGUAACUUCUUAGCUAACAUCUGCACAAAACGGCCAAUUGCUUACAGCAGUGGACGGAAAUAAAAUUGACCUCCCCUCUCCGUCCACUGCUCAUUCAACGAUCUUCCAAAUCUGGCCUUGCUGAAGCAAAAGGAAUAUC